UGUCUACCAUAAAAGGUGUUCUUUCGCCGUAACGAACGGAUAUAUGUCGCGCGAUCGGCCCAGUCCGACUCUUGAUGUUGGUUUCUGCGAUCCUGUUGCUCGAGGAAGGUUCAUUGAAUGGUGAAUCGCGACGAAGGUGGCGGUGCACAAUGAUCGAUUUGAAAUAUUAUCGUACGCGACAACGCCGUGAGGGCAGCCGAGCGCUUGCAGUGUCAUUCACUUUCGACUGUGUGACGUACCAAAACAAAGAAAAGCAGAGAAAAGACUGAUCCGUGGACGAAACAAUGGACCGAGGAAAAGAGAAGAAUAAGUGCGUGCUUUAUCUGUCUCUCUCGAAAGGGAGAAAGUCCUACGAAACGACGGUGUCCGUCCGAUGCGGCGAUGGAAAGCCACAGUUUGCCCUUGGAAACGCCUUAACCGGCUAGGAACAACAGAAACUGUAUCACGGUCAUAGACUUCGUCGUCGUCUACGCCGCUAUUAUGAGUCGGGCAAACCCGCGGAUCGAGCUUGAUCUAUGGAUUGUAACGCGGCACACUCGGGACGACAGGACACGUCGGGCACGCGUGCACGGCUCACGUUCCCGGGGGUUAAUCGUUCGGAAGAAAACAACGGGCAAAUGUACUCACUGGUACGAUACGCGCCUCUCGCGCGCGCCGUAUCUGUCAGGUUCAAAGGAAAAGUUCACGAAGCGUGUGCAUUCAUGGACGCGAGACGGCAGGGUUGGAGAGCGAGAGGGAGUGGACGAAAAAGCGCAAAACAAGGGAGGAGAGAAAGAGAGAAAAGUCGCGCAUCGGGUCGCGGCGAGUGCGUGGGCUCAUGAACGCCGGCGCUGCUGGUGAUUCACGCUGUCGGCAAACCGGCCGAACGUGGCCACGUUCACUCUCACUUUUCUGUGCAUUGUUUCAUUGUCGCGCGACCGAGUCUUCCGUGCCCACCGUAACGAAAAUGCUUGCAAGCUACGGGGUUUUUCUUGGUCUCUUCCGGUAUCACAGGAAAAACCCGAAGGAAAACAAGCCGGGGGUGGGGGUAACAAGUUAAACGACCUUUGGCAAACCACGCACACUGUACACCGGUGGGCGAGCGCGCGCGCGCCUCUCUUUCUCUCUCACAUACACAUGAAACACACGAGCAGCACAGAACACGCACACUAGCUCUGCCUCUCUCUCUCUUUCUCUCUCGCCAACAAAGUUCAGACAGGCGACGGCGGACCGAUAAAUACGACGCGCCCGACUCGGAUAUACUGCGGCCCCUAACGAACGACCACGCCUGACGCAGCCACCGGCUCUGGUGGGGGUAAAUCCACUACAACGGCGUUGGUGCUCCUACGGCAAACCAACGAGGCUGCCUCUCUUCACUGCGCAUGUGUUCCACGGAAUUCUAACGACCAAUCGCGGGCCGCCGUCGCGAGCAGCCUGCCGGAUCACGGAACAUAUUGUCCUUUCUACACACGGCCGGUCUCUCGGCGAAUCGUCGCUCUCCGAACCGCUUUCCCGCACUCGAAAACGGAGAUGCAUCUGCCGUGCAAAUAACGCCGAACGGUUUUCCUUUCUUUUGUCUUCGAUUCGCGAGACGUUUCGCAACCCAGCCGAUUGAUAUGCUCGCCUAAGCGCAUCCCUUUCCGAUCCCUGGUACACGCAAUUCUGUUUUUAUCUACGGUCUAGAAAAAUAAAUUCAAUUUUACUUUUUACAGGAUUUCGCUGGUUUCAUCACGGUUCAGAGUUAUUUGAUUGGAAUUUUAAGGGCCGUCAUUUUCUAGAUAUAUUUCGAGCAGUACAUACGCACGUUAAAUGCUCUUAGCAACAAACACUGGAACUUCGAUCCAAAAAGUUUGCUCUUAGCUCUUUGCGCAAUACAUAAUAAAUAAAAAAAUGUCACACUUUCGAGAGUAUAACGUGACAUUGAGUUUGCAAGCGUGUGAACUAUAACCAUUUUUUUCUAUUUUUCUAUGUAUCUACACAAUGCCUCUUUUUUUAAACGGUAUUUUACUACCGUACUCAUUUACGUACCUAUAUUUUUAACAGAAAUUUUGUUUAAUUUCCGUAUCCCUGCUUUUCUAAUAAAUUAAUGCAAUGUUGUAGCAAUUUAAAAAGCAUCGUUUAGAAUAUUUUACUCCGGGUUAUACAUGUUUUAUUUCGACUAUUAUUUCGACGCCGUUAAUAGUUCAUUGUUUACGUAAUAAAUAAAACGAAAAUAUUGUCCAGUGUUUGGAACAAACGUGCUCGGAACAUCGCUCUCAUUUACCGGCCGUUUCUGCGACUACAGUGUAAAAUAAAACUUCGCGGGACAACCAUCGUGUCUGGUGGCGCUGCAUACUAACUAGAGAUUUUUUUCUCGCUUGAUCGUUAACAAACCGAAACGGUACGCGCGAAGUGGAUGUUGCAAUUAAAAACACCUUGCACUUUUCAGUCAGACGAACUUUUCCCCUCAUUAUUUUCAGCUUGGCGAGCGAACAUGAAAAAAGUACGGCGAAUUAAAUCAUUCGGAAAUAACAAUAACGUUAAUAGCGUCAAACAGUUCUGCAUAUGUUGGUAGGCAAUAUCGAACUAUAAAAAUAGAAGGCGAAUUCCUCUUUGGAAAUUAAAUCAAAGGAAAAAUCGAUACGGGUAAUGAAAGUGAGUUUCAUUAAAAGAAGUAUGUAUAUUAAGAUUGUAUAAAUUAGUCUAAUUUUCUCGGUAGAACUGUUCCAAGAGGAUUCGAGGGUGCACCGUUUCGCGCGAACGAAUAGGAAAGGAACGCACGAUUCUGGAAUCGCAACAAUGGUCCAGCGUGGCAUUCUUCGAACGAAAUAGGAAAGAAAAAAACAGAAAACUGUUCGGAAAAGGGAAGCAUCAAGGCGGCAGAAAUAGCACGCGAGCAAAUGCAGGUGGCGUUCGCGAACACAACGAUACACUGUCGCGACGGAAUACCAAGCAAGAGAACGUCGCCGACGACCGUUGACACCGUAAAAAAAAUGAAGUCGCCGGAGGAGAUGCGAAUCGGCCUCGUUAAGGCAGUCCCCUCUACCAAGGACCCUCGAAAAGAACAAGCGUCCUUCCGCUCUGCAAGAUAUACCGAAACCUUCGCGAACAGUGAUUUUCAUUUCUCUCGUUUCUUUUCUCCCCGUUGUUCUCGCAGAAUCAAUGAAUACAACGUCCGGCAACGUUAACCCAGUUCCACCGUUUGUUUUAUCCUUCUCGAUGCCCUCAUAAGGUAAACGUCCUUAUUCGCGACUACGUUCCUAUCGACGUAUUGAACACUAUAAAUAAAUAAGCUUUACUUCAGUUA